GGCUCAGAUUGAACGCUGGCGGCAGGCCUAACACAUGCAAGUCGAGCGGUAGCACAGAGAGCUUGCUCUCGGGUGACGAGCGGCGGACGGGUGAGUAAUGUCUGGGAAACUGCCUGAUGGAGGGGGAUAACUACUGGAAACGGUAGCUAAUACCGCAUAACGUCGCAAGACCAAAGUGGGGGACCUUCGGGCCUCAUGCCAUCAGAUGUGCCCAGAUGGGAUUAGCUAGUAGGUGGGGUAAUGGCUCACCUAGGCGACGAUCCCUAGCUGGUCUGAGAGGAUGACCAGCCACACUGGAACUGAGACACGGUCCAGACUCCUACGGGAGGCAGCAGUGGGGAAUAUUGCACAAUGGGCGCAAGCCUGAUGCAGCCAUGCCGCGUGUAUGAAGAAGGCCUUCGGGUUGUAAAGUACUUUCAGCGAGGAGGAAGGCGUUAAGGUUAAUAACCUUGGCGAUUGACGUUACUCGCAGAAGAAGCACCGGCUAACUCCGUGCCAGCAGCCGCGGUAAUACGGAGGGUGCAAGCGUUAAUCGGAAUUACUGGGCGUAAAGCGCACGCAGGCGGUCUGUCAAGUCGGAUGUGAAAUCCCCGGGCUCAACCUGGGAACUGCAUUCGAAACUGGCAGGCUAGAGUCUUGUAGAGGGGGGUAGAAUUCCAGGUGUAGCGGUGAAAUGCGUAGAGAUCUGGAGGAAUACCGGUGGCGAAGGCGGCCCCCUGGACAAAGACUGACGCUCAGGUGCGAAAGCGUGGGGAGCAAACAGGAUUAGAUACCCUGGUAGUCCACGCCGUAAACGAUGUCGACUUGGAGGUUGUGCCCUUGAGGCGUGGCUUCCGGAGCUAACGCGUUAAGUCGACCGCCUGGGGAGUACGGCCGCAAGGUUAAAACUCAAAUGAAUUGACGGGGGCCCGCACAAGCGGUGGAGCAUGUGGUUUAAUUCGAUGCAACGCGAAGAACCUUACCUACUCUUGACAUCCAGAGAACUUAGCAGAGAUGCUUUGGUGCCUUCGGGAACUCUGAGACAGGUGCUGCAUGGCUGUCGUCAGCUCGUGUUGUGAAAUGUUGGGUUAAGUCCCGCAACGAGCGCAACCCUUAUCCUUUGUUGCCAGCGAUCCGGCCGGGAACUCAAAGGAGACUGCCAGUGAUAAACUGGAGGAAGGUGGGGAUGACGUCAAGUCAUCAUGGCCCUUACGAGUAGGGCUACACACGUGCUACAAUGGCAUAUACAAAGAGAAGCGACCUCGCGAGAGCAAGCGGACCUCAUAAAGUAUGUCGUAGUCCGGAUUGGAGUCUGCAACUCGACUCCAUGAAGUCGGAAUCGCUAGUAAUCGUAGAUCAGAAUGCUACGGUGAAUACGUUCCCGGGCCUUGUACACACCGCCCGUCACACCAUGGGAGUGGGUUGCAAAAGAAGUAGGUAGCUUAACCUUCGGGAGGGCGCUUACCACUUUGUGAUUCAUGACUGGGGUGAAGUCGUAACAAGGUAACCGUAGGGGAACCUGCGGUUGGAUCACCU
rnacentral:rRNA from 1 species